UGAUAUUUCAUGAAACUUGCAAUUAUUGAAAAAAAUCAUUUUAAAACCCUGUGUUACUUAAGUCAUUGUGGAAUGUGAGAUGGUAAAGUAUGAGUCUCUUAUUCUUGAUAUCAUUGUUGCUUGGAGAAUUUAUUUCAAAAAUCUUCAAAAUUCUAGCUACCAUCCUCAGUGUUUUAUAUGCCUGAUAAAACUGAAGAUAUUAAUUAUGAUUAUAAAAGCUAUCUACUCUGUAUUGAGUUUGUUCAAAAUGAGUUAGACCUUUGUUGAGAGAUUUAUCAUGCUCCUAAGAUCAAGACAUUUAUUCAGAAAGAUUCACUCUUCCGAAGUAUUAUUGCAUUAGAGGCAUUGGCUAUGCAAAAAUAAAGAUAUUUUGAGGAAAUAAAAAGGAGCAAGUGCUCGAUAACCUCACAGAAAAAAUGGACAAGUGUCCGGCAGUAGAAUUAGGGUUACCUCGGUAUCCACUUAAAAAAAGAAGAAAAAGAAAAUGAUAGCCCAUGGUCCCUCUAAUAAGCAAUAUGCCAGCAAGAGUUGACAAAGAUUUCAAUUUCCAAAGUCUUUGAUCUAAGAGUAUGACAUUUCCCUCCUCGGAUCCCGUUUUGAUCAGGCAAUAAAUACAAGGUAAGUAUGCUUGAGAAUUUUUUGCAAAUUAAAACAGCCUGAGUGAGAUAUAUAAAAGAUAAUGAGUGAUCUGAGAGAACCUAUGAGGAUAAAAGGUAUGCUAACUUUCUUUCAAAAAUGUACAAAAACUCCAAGUGACAAGAUUAAGAAGAAAGGAUCUUUACUCUUAACCAUAUACUUCCCUGACUAUAGUACACAGUGGAUUUUAACACCCUGCAAAUAUAAAGAAAAUGUUUUACCCCACAUAUUGUUCUUAACCAUCCUUUUCUCGAGGCCGAGUAAAAGCCUAAGUAUGGGGGUAUUUGUUGACGGUUCUUAAGUAUCAAUUUUAAUUAUCAAAUAAACAAGAGAAAGGACCAAUAUGCAACCAACACCUAGAAUUAGGGUUUGAUCUGACAGAAUUCCACGAGUUUUGUUGUUUAUCUGUUUCUGCAGGGGGUUAUCAGGAAAUAAGGAAGAAAGGCCCACAUGUCGGGAUUACAUAGAGAUAUCAACGCACCGCGCAAUUUUCAACCAUCUAGAAGACUCCAGAAGCCACGGGAAGAAAGCGGAGGCCGAACGGGGCCAGGCCCUGGGCGCCUGCUCAGUUGACCUGGGCGCCCGCCCUCUGUUGGAUGCCAAUCAGGACUCUCCGGGAUCAAUAGAGUGGAGGUGUAGAUCAGAGGAAGGCCGGCCUGUCGGUGUCUACUCCAAGGCUGUACCUACGGGAUCAAGUCUUCUAACCCAAGGCUUUCUCCUAUGAUUCUUCAGUAAUUCGACUUCUAAUUCUAGUAAGUUCAUGUUUUAUUGUUCUUUUGGUUUAUGAGUUUACUUUAAUCUCUUCGCGUAGAGUUUAGAGUAAUCAUCUCUAGCGUAGACGUGGUGUUUAAGCUAGGAUACUCAUAGAUAUUCCCUGACUAGCUAGACCGUGGUAGUAGCGAGGAACGUGACAUUUCUGAGUUACCUUUGCAGACCAUAUCUCGUUAGCAAGAAGGAUAGGGUUUAUAGGUUCGGGUUGAACAUCCUUUGUGGUGUCUAGAUUCUGUAAGCUUCCCUAAUAGAACAGUAGAUCAUCCUUACCAAGGUUAGAAGGAGAUUACGGUUGUAGUCUUCUCUAUUUAUCACUCACAUCGAGAAACAUUCUUUGUUGCCUAAACGGUUAGUAGUAAUAGACCGGGUUAGUCAGAUGCACUCUUUCUCCUAGUGGUAAAAAAAUAAAUACGAUACUCUGGAUAACCUCCCGGGUGAAGUGCUCACCGAUAUCCGUGCGCUUGCGGAUCAAUUCCUUAUUGCGUUCCCAAAUAUCAACAAUUGGCUAAAGGCUUUGAUAAAUAUAGAAGAAAAUAAAAAUAGAUUUUCCAGAUGGUAUGAUAAAAAGGUAAAGGCUAAGGAGUUCGCCGAUGGAAACUGAUAUUACCGAUUGGGACUAAAAAUUCAAAGUUUGGCAAGUGGUCUCCCAAUUGGGAAGGUCCUUAUCGGAUAAAUCGAUCUGGUCCUGGUAAUGCCUAUAUUUUGGAAACUCUAGAAGGAGUUGAAUUUCCCAGAGCAUUGAAUGGAAAAUAUUUGAAGAAGUAUUACCAAGCAUAUGGGUCAAUGCAUAAAAGUUUAAGUGCCGAUAACAUUCCUAUCGGCUAGAUUAAAGUGUGUUUCGGACUGAAUAUGAUGUUUCAAGAGAUGCCGAUAACAGACCUAUUGGCUAGACCAAAAUAAUCAGCAGUUUUCAAGAAAGAGCAAAAUACACGGCCGAUGAAAAGCUUAUGCACUCAAUAGAGCUUGGAUGGCUGAUAUAGCGCGCAGACAAAUUUGAUCGGCUUCUUCUAUCUCCCUGAUGUCUUCAUCGGUAGAACCCUCCACUGGCUUCAGCUUCUUGUUCAUCUGCAAUGCCUUGCGGGCUUGAGUGUUUCGCUCUUGUUUGAGGGUCUUGAUCGUUUCAGGCAGCUGAUUUUCUUCUUGUUGAGCUUGAGACAGAGCCUCUUCUACUUGUUUAAGCUAUGCCAAUAGGGCUUCUCUUUUUGCCGAUAGGUCGAAUAUCUUUUGUUUCAGCGUAUCUCCUGGGGAUUUCAGAAUGCCGAUGCUCUUGUGUUUUUCAUCGGCAAGGUGCUUUACUUUCAUUAUCUCCUCUGAAAGCUGGGCAUGAGUGGCUCUAUCGGCGAGGCGCUGAGUGGCCUUUUGGUACUCGAGCUGUUGGCUCUCCAAGUGUGCACCCUUGAAGAGGAUCUCCUCGGCAUCACCAGGGAUUUGGCCUCUGAGAGCUUUAAACGGAGCCUUGGCUGGAUCGGAGUCAUCAACCAGUUGGGUUGUAUCCUGAUGAAGCAGGGCCAGCAAAUCUUCUAGCUUUGCUCUGAUUUAUGUCGAUGAAAUCCCAAUUGCUUGAGAAGAGCUUGCUUCCUCGCCUUCAUCGUCGGAAAUUUCGAUGGCGAAGGAGAAGAGGCUGUCAGGAGAAUCUUGUUCCUGAAAAAGAAAAGGAGAUAGGUUAUUUGAUGAUGAAAUGUUAGUAAAAUAAAGGAUGAUUAUCAAAUAGCUUACUUGUUUCAAAGCCAUCUCUCACCUCUAGCUAAUUGAGGCCGAUGGUACCACAGGUUGAUCGGUCGGAGUAGUCGAUGGGACAAUGUCAGCUGAAAAAAUUAACAAGGAUAGUUAUAAGGCGGAAAGAUAAAUCCAUCGGCAACGAUUUCAUAGAUAGUACUUUACCUUGAGGGGGUGCAGUGCUUGUCUGAAUUGAGUAGACUACCGAUGCUAUGAUUGAACCCACUGGAUCGGCGGUCUGCUCGUGUACAUCGGUUGAUAUCUCUUCUGGCUGAGGUGCUUCUUCCUGUGGCUGAGGUGGAGACGGUGCUUGUUGUGUCUGGGUCUCUGGUGAAGAAGGGGACGAUUCCACAUGAAUCGGUGAUCCUGGAGGAGGAGGAGGAGGAGGCGAUGCUGUCUUCUGACGUUUUGCUUGUGACUUAGUACUCUUGGGACCCUUUCUCUUUACUUGGCUGGACUGGGGGCAUCGACAGUUGUCUUGGUACUUCUGGUCUUUGCCGAUUUGCCGGAUUGCUGAUACAACAACAAAAGUUUUGUAAAUACAAGCGUGAUAGGGAGUUGAUGAAAUUCUGGUUGGAAUAGUAAAAAUUACCGAUGAUGUUCCCAUAGCAGCCGAUGUGUCCUGAAAGAAUUUACCUUGAAAGCUUGUGCCAAAGCAGUAGCAGCUACCGAUGGGGAUGUCUUCGCUCGUCUGGUGGUAAUUUUCUUGAAACGCACGCCCCGGUGCAUUAAAGCCGCCAAGCUUGGCGCAUUGUUGCCGAUCAGAGAGAUCGGGCCCGAUGGAAGGAGUUCGAUCGGCCUUUUGCUCUUGCUGACUGUCGGUGGUGUAUCAUCGACAUGAUUAAAGAGAGAGGAAGUGAGUUACCGAUAAAAAUAAAAGUAAUAUAAGAGGAUUGAAGCAUCGGUUGAAAACUUACAGUGUUCUCGGGAAUUUUGUACUUAGGGUCGAUCAUGCCACGGUAUGUGAGGGCCGAUCUGCAGAAUAGGUGUUCUUUCCACUCCUCCCACCACUGCUUGUAUGCCUGGGUAAUGAAGAGAGCCGGGAUCCAAGCCGAUAGAUCGACGUCUGUAUCGGCAUUUGGUGGAAGUUGAGCUAUUCUGAUCCACUCGAGACCGCUGGUUAUGGUUUCCCUUGGUUUCACCACAUCGGCGUAGCAGAGUGUAAUCGGCAGCUUUCCAAAGGCUAGUUGGCGAGCUAGUGCCGAUGGGUUAUAGAACUCAUAAGUCAGAUUGGAGGCUUUCCAGCUACCAAAGAAGUUCACUGGUAUGGCUCUCGGAGUGAUGAUUGCCAUCAUCAGAUCAUGGUCCUUGUUGAGAGCAUUGUCAAAGGGGUGGAAAGUGAGUAGGAAUCUGGUUUCUGGAUCUUCAUAAGGCAUCCAUGCCCGCUGGUCUUUGGCCAAACCCUCAUAGAGAGUCUGAAAGAAUCGGCUGACCUGGUCCUCAUUGCCACCGAUACCAGGUAGAACUAUGGCAGCUUCACCAUAGCUCAGAGGAGAGCGAGUUGCCGAUUCUUCUUCAUCCAACUCAUGAUCUUUGGCUAUGUCUCUUGGAAAACACUGUGCCAAAAGGUCGAAUCCAAGGCGUUUAUGCAUAUGGACACUGAGCCACAUGUUGACAAACCACCAAUGUCCCCCUAAGUUGCCGAUGGAUUGGCCUAGCAGGAGUUUCUUAGCUACCUGAUGGAGAAGGUGAUAAACAGAGCCGAGCAAGUAUCGGCCAAGAGGAAAUCAGCCACCAUUGGCUAAUCUUUCUGCUGUCGAUAGAUAGACAGAGGUUGGUCCUGCCGAUCGGCCAUAGAAUACAAACUUGUCUAGCCACAUGUUCAAGAAAAUAGCCUGCUCUCUUUCCCCGACAGGUCCUGUUUUUCGAUACUUCUGAAUAUACCCAGACCAACCGCCGAUAGCACGAGUCUCUACCUUAGAACUGGGUUUGGUAUCAAACAAAUGACUAUCAUCGGCAGUUGAUAUGUCUAAGCCAGUAAGCAUGAGUACAUCGACAAGAGUAGGUGAAGCAGGGCCAUGGCCGAAUACAAAAGCAUUGAGUGUGUCUGACCAAAAGUACGAGGCAUCUAUCAGCAGUGACUCGUUCCUCUCCAUAUUGACAAGGGAUAAUCUGAUGCACUGGUCUAGUUUCCGCUCACCCCAUUGGACUUCAUUUGAAUGGCUGACUCUCAGGAACCAGUCUUUCCAUCCCUUGGUAGGACUGGGCUAUGAACGAAAAGCAUCUUUCCACAGAUCUAAGGAGAAGUUUUCGGCUCUAAAGGGGAUUCUAUUUGUUUCUGCAUUUAUCAGAUUGGUGGGAUCUGGAUUCCCUAACGGGCCGAGACAUUAGAAGUGAGGUUGAUCGGUAGGAAUAACGAUCUUAUCGGCCAAAUCCUAAAAGGUCUUGAGGAUGAAAGAACAAAAAGAAAAAAAAGAGGGUACUCAGUAAAAAGAAUCAUAGAUGAACAGGAGUACAGCAAGAGUGCAGAAAGGAGAGGGAUGGUAAACUGACCUCAGGAACAACGAAGUUGAUGGCCAUUUCUUUCCGAGGAAGAGGGUUGAAGACUUGGAAGAUAGGUGGAGGAGGUCCUUGCUGGAGUUCUUGGAGUUCUCAGGCAAUGUCGCCGCCAGGAAGGUGGAUUUUGGGCUGUGGAAUGACAAGAUGGAGAAAGAGUACCGGAGAAGGAAGUAUUUAUAGGACAAAACGGGCAGGGGCAAAUCUGACUUAUCUCUUUGUCGCAUUCGUGAAAUCCGAGGGUGUUUAGGUGGAUAUGGUAACUAUUCGCACGGUAAUCAAGGGAUUGCGUAGGUGAUUUGACAGCAAGCGGUCAUGAUUUUGAAGAUAUUUUACUGUGCAAGAUCGCCUGGUCGGCCCAUCGGCAGUUUUCUAUAACGGUAAUAUUGCCGAUGAGCGCAUAAGUGGGGAGGUUCGGUUCGAGAGCUUGAGGAAUUCGAAGAGUCUAUAGGAGAAUCGGGCCAAGGUUGUUUAGAUUUGGCGGCUGAUUACCAAAUUGGGAGAAGUAAUUGCGGAAAGGCGUCAUUACUGCAGAGAAUUUUGGAGCAUUAAUGAUUUUAUACUCCAAAAUUGGGGGGCAUGUGUUGACACCAUUUUUGGACAUGUAUCUUUUGAUACACGCCUGGAGUUAAUGGGAUGUAGAUCGGCAGAUGGAGCAAUGGUGACUAGUCUACAAGGGAGUUGCCGAUAAAGGUGGUUGCCGAUGGGAAACAGCCGAAUAUGACCAAGUUCGGAAGUGGUGACGUAUUCGUGCCGAUGACCAUUGCCGGUGUUUGCCAAUGGCUGUAACAGGUAGUCUGCCGAUGACUCUGAAAAAAGCGCGGAGGUUGCCGAUUGAUUCGUAGCAGUGUCCUGAUCGGUUACGGGGGAUGGUUUAAUGUUUUCCUUAGUUAUUAGGAUUUGUUUUGUAUACGGAUUCCGUUUAAUUUGGAAUUCGAGUCCUAGUCGUGUCUGGUUGUAGCUCUUUGGAUAGAGUAUAAAUGUAGACUCUAGGGCAAUGUAAUGAGAUAUCUAUCAAUCAAUCAAACACAAGUUUUUACUCAUAUUCCAGCAUCUACUUUUCGACGACUUCGUCAUAUUUUCCUUUUACUACGAGUUCUUAGGAAUUCGUCGAGUCAAACUUGGCGUGUUCUCGAGUUUCGCGUGAGCACCUCUUGGCCAUGACAUCCGAGCGCAUCGCUGUUGUCGGGGCCAAAGUGUUCGAGUUACCACCUUUGUCGAUUGUAAGGUCAAAUCGGCUGGCGCGCCUUAAUGUUUGAAUUGGAUAUUAGCCCUUUGUGUUCGCAGAUCAGCCUCUGCACCAACACUUAGAAUCUAAAAUCUGAACCCAAAUGGCACUGUCAUUCAAAUGGUAUCUGAAAAUCCAAGCACACAAAACAGACAAGUUUAAACUUCUCAAAUUAGGAAUUCCUAGACCUCCAAAGUCUUUUCUCUGAGCAACCAAUUGCCAGUUUGCGAGAUGGUAUUUAUGUCUAUCUUCCGUAUAAUUCCACAGGAAGUGACUCAUCUGAGAAUUAAUCAUAUCAAUGGCCCACCUAGGAAAUUUUAUGAUGGAAAGGAGAUAAAUAAGGAUGCUCGCAAGGCUAGCCCUUAACAAAGUUAAUCUGCCAGCAUAAGAUAGCAACCUUCCUCUCCAUCCCACAAUUCUUUUAAUUAUCUUAUCAAUCACCGGCUAUAAAUCCUCUCUUCUUAACUUGGUGAAAUGUAGCGGCACACCUAGAUACUUAAUAGGAAAAUCGCUUAACUUGCAGCAAAAAAACCUUCGCAAAAUCAUUAGCACUGUUUGGGCUUAAGCCAAUAGUCAACAGUUCACUCUUGUCAUAAAUGAUUUUCAUACCUAACAUCUUUUCAAAACAAACCAAUAACCACUUCAAAGUUUGAGCCUUUUCUAUAUUAUCCUCUAAAAACAGAAGUGUGUCAUCUGCAUAUUGCAAACUGACCACUCCACCAUCUAUGACUUGGGGAAGAAGGCUAGAAAUUAAGUUUUGUAUAGCAGCUUUCAUAAGCAUCCUAGAGAAAACAUCUGCUACAAGAUUAAACAAAACGGGGGACAAGGGGUCUCCGUGUCUAAGCACUUUCCCCGGUUUAAAGAAACCACUGUUUUCAUUAUUCAUUCUAAUGCAUAUUGAUCUCCCUUGAACCACACUCUUAAUCAAUCUAAUAUACUUGGGACUAAAGUUCCUAGAUGAGAGCAUAUCCUCUAAAAAAACUCCAGCUAACUCUAUCAUAAGCUUUCUCGUAAUCUAACUUAAGGAUAACCCCUGCAUCCUUAUGCUUAUGCACCUCAUGAAUAAGCUCAUGAGCUGCAACCACGCUCUCAAGAAUAUAUCUUCCUUUAAUAUAAGCCGUUUGAUUUGAAGAAAUCAACCUAUCAGCCACAUCAAUCAACCUAUCAUUAAGCAGCUUAGAAAACAACUUGAAGCUACAAUUGAUAAGACUAAUAGGUCUAAACUUUUUCAAGUUUUUGGCCUCAGGUUCUUUUGGAACUAACGUUAUCAUCGCAUAAUUGAUUGUAUCAAAUUUAGCUUAUCCUUCUCAAAGAGAUUUACUAGAUUCAUCAAGUCUAAUUUAAUAGUCUCCCAGAAAAUUUGGUAGAACAAGAAAGGCAGACCAUCAGGUCUAGGGGCACCAUCCGCAUAAGAACCAAAAACUGCCUUUUUAACCUCCUCUUCUGUAAAAGGAGCUUCCAACAACUCAUUCUCUACUAACGACACCUUUGCCUCCUCCUCCCAAAAAUCUGCAUCCAGCUUGACAUUAGUUUCAGGUUCUUUACCAAAUAAAGACUUAUAAAAGUCUACAGCAUGCUCUAGAAGUUUGUCAUUGUCUUCCACCCAACCUUCUGGUGUAUCUAGACCUAAAAUCUUUUUCUUCCUAUUUCUUUGGUUAGCCACAGCUUGAAAAUAAGCUGUAUUUCUGUCACCCUCUUUGAUAUUUCUAUCUCGUGACCUCUGCGUAGCUUUAAUCUCUUCCAUUCUCCAGAUGGCCCCAAGAUCUAGAAGAAUUUUUUAGUUUAAUCAAACCAAACUUAUUAAUCCAAUCCUGAAACAAAUCAGCCCAUCUUUGAUUAAUAUUACCGUUACAUUUUUCUCUAGCUGUAGUUAUGAGAUUAAAAUAUCCUCCUAACACAGUAGGUCCAUCCCAAUUGCUUAGAAUACUCCCAAUCUCUUGAAGAAAAUCUAGUUUACCCUCCUCAUAGGGAGAACCAUAAACCACCACUAAACGCCAAACAAAUUUAUCAUGAGAAUUUUAAUCAUCACAACCACAGAGUAUUUGCCAUCCUGCUAGGUUAAAGCCUCAAAUUUCCUAUUAUUCAAACCUACCAGGAUACCUCCAGCAGCUGCCGGAAGGGCAGUGCCAACAGAAACCACUAUUAACAUAGUUAAGAAAGGAAUCCUGGAAGCUUUCCUUCUUAGUUUCUUGAAAACCAACAAAAUCUAAGUGAUUAUCUUUAACAAAGUCAAUAAUGCAUUGAAGGCGGCCCUCUUUAUUGAGGCCUCUAACAUUCCAAAAUGCACCUAUCAUUUUCCCCUUAUUUUAAUUUAGAGACCUUGCCUUUAGAGGCAACUUGGACCCAAGAGGUGUCAGUUUCAUAUAUUUUUCUCGGGUUGGAGUUGCAUCAUUACUAGUCAAAGGAGGAAACUCCUCAAUCACAAAAACAGAGUCUAAAUUGUUUGUUUGGGAGGUUAACCUCUGGAUUUUUGUCCUCAAAACUUUUUCUAUCCUCUAAUUCUUUUUCUUUUAAACCAUCAAUAUUUUUAUUCAGCUAAGGUAUCAAUACCAAGGGAAACAUUCACACAUCUAGCCUUACUAAGUAAGACAGCAUUAUCUUCAUAAGCAAAAGAGUUUUUUAAGUAAUUACCUUUUUCAAGAUUUUUCAUCCUUUUGAGAUCUUGAGCUUUUUCCAGCAUGGUCCUUCCAUCUUCAGCAACCCUCCGUGGCCUAGCAGCUAUUGGAAUGGGUCCCCAACCUAUUUUCCUCUUUUGAUUCUUCUUAGUUGUAUCUUUGUCCAUAAUUCUAUCCUCCCACUCUUCAAUUUGCCGAGAUAGAAUUCCCGAUUCCUCAGUGAGAACACAUCACCAUUCUCCAUCAGCUCCUCUUCAUCUUCUCAUAUUUCUAACUCCAUCCUUUUCAACAGAAUAGCACAUUCCUCAGUGGUCGUUCCUUGUUUGGCCAUAUUUCUGAAUUCCCCAUUUCGAAUGGUUAGAUUCCUCCUCAAUCAGACUAUAAAACUUGUUACCCACAACGUGACAGUCGGAAAGCAUAGCUAUCUUCUGUUCAGGCGUCUUCCAUCGAUCGGCUUUCCCCUGUAUGUCCCACUCAGCACCCUUUAGAGAGUCUUUAGCCAUGCUAUCAUUAUAGCUGUAUCCCUUCCAGUCAUUUUAUUUGUAGCGUAGAGCUCAAGCUUCUCUAUGACCGAGCAGUCAUUUGUGAUUAGUAUUUCAGAUCUCAUCGCAGCAUCAGUGCCACUCUGACAGUCCACAUCUACUAUCUCACUAGUUGUUAACAGCUCAGGAUUAAUAUCACUCAUACACUCUUUAAGUUGUUGAUCCUGAUCCCACUGAUCUAUCAUCAUACCAUUGGUAACUGUCUUGUAUCCAGAGUUGCUACUUGGCUUAUGAUAAGGGGUCUUCGUGCUUGGGUUGUUACUAGCUGCAAUAUCAUGUGUUGGUUCUUUUUCUGUAUCAGUAUCAUAUAGGCCAUCUGCCUCUUCAUCCAGCCCACCCUUUCCAUCAUCUCUUCCAUCUCCACCAUCAUCAUUACUUCCAUUAUCUUUGGGUCCAGAUCUCUUAUCUUCAGUCUCAACCGUGAACUCUACAACAUGCAGAUUCCUGUUCAUUUCAAACAGCCUUUUCUUUGGGAUCUUAGUAUAAUCUUUGACAGCCACUUUAAUUCUGAUAGUUUCAUAGAAAGUCUUGAACAAUAUGGACCAGUCCACCUCAACCAAGAGACCAAAACUAGAAGCAAUUUGGGCAAAGACUCUUGGAGGAAUGCCAUUCAUUUGUACCCAAACCUCUUGCAACGGACCAAAAGGUUUCAUAUCACCAAGCCAUUCCAAGACCUCCACUCGAACACCUUCUUUUCUAAGGUUGAAGGAAGGGUAGUUUUUUAUGUCUGCAACUUUCUUGUGGUGUGGGAAUCUCACCAGGAAAUUACCCUUCUCCAAUUCCCAAAUUUGCCAUGGCCAAACCAUGCAAUAUAUUUCGGAUAGCUCUAAUUCUAGUUCAGCUAAACUGACCUCACCAGCUAUGACUCUCACCACUCCACAACUAGUCAAGUUCAGCCAUUGAGUAGACUCUACAUCAGGAAUUUGUAAAUGAUAGAAACCUAAACCCAGACUCGAACUACCCACAUAAGCAGCGACAGGGUGAUCCUUCUUCCAGGCUGGAUACACAUUCAUAUGGUGCCCAGCAAUACCACAGAUAAAGCAGAUUUUGGAUUUUGUGCAGUUACCCACAAAGUGACUCGGCUCUCAACAAUUGUAGCAAGUCAUCUUCCUGUACCUUGGAUCUAUGAAAAAGUGAGGAAUCUUAGGAUUCUGAGUACCUUGUCCACCAUCCUGAAGAGCUCCAUGCAUAGGAGGAGGAUGAGGCUGUUGCUUGGGCGGCUGCUGCAGACGCUGAGCUUGACAAAGCAGUUGUUGUUGCCGAGGGGGUCGGGGACGAGUAGGUGGAGCAUCUCUCAAGUGACGCUGACCCUGGUCCUGCCAUCCUUGACGUUGGGAUUGCGAAGGAGGAUACCUUGGUUGAUUUUGCUGAACGAAUCUCUGAUUGCGCUGAGGAGGAGGGCGAUUUGGAUCGCACUGUGGAGGAGGGCGAUUUGGCUCCGGAUGCCAAACCCAGUGGCCACCUUCUGCCAUGGGUCGCUUGAGCACCUCUACGUAUGCCUCCUUCGCUUCCCGGUGGCUCCAAAUCUCCCGAAAGCUAAUCCUCACUGGCGACUUAUCAAUCCGAUCUGAUUUCUUCACCCGGAAGCAGUCAGACAGUGAAAAUCUCUUCUGCUCUACCAGCUCCCUUCGAACCCAGACUAGCUGGCUGGAUCUAGAGACAUUGGAGGUGGACAGAACCCUAGACUCGACUAGCAGCGGUGGGGAGUUGAUGGCCCAAAGCUAGCCAAAAAAUUCGAGGAUGACUUCGUCCUCUAUAGCCACUGAUGGAUCCAAUCGAGCCGUAUCCUUACGGACAACCUCUCCCUUCUCGUUGACUGGUGGGGGACACACUCCCGCCCUCCUGUGGCGCGUGGAGCCCGUCGCGCACUGGGUCCUCGUAGUCAGCCAGGGUGGGUGCGGCCAUGGAGGUGGGUCGAGGUCGAGGUUCUGUCGCGACAUGGGAGACGACAUCCCUUUCCCCCUCAUACGUGUAAGGUAUCCAUAGCUCGGUAAACUCUUAUUCUCUUUGUUAUAUUUAUAAUAGUUCUUGCUACUAUGAAUAUGCCUUAUCUAUUUAAUUAUAUCAGAAUUGACUUUAUUCUAUUUGCUUAUUGUUCACACCUGUUAACUUACAAAAUUAGUUAGCAUUUAUUUCUCAACCAGAUAUGAAUAUCUACUAGAAUAGGGUUAUCACUAACAAUUUCCACAAGUUUUUUUAUAUUUUGUGUUUUCCAGGGAUUAUUUUAGAAAGAGCUGAAAAGAGGGAUUUAAGUACUAAUCGGCCAUGAAACUUAUCGUGACAGAAGGAUGACACCAGAGGGAUCAGGAAUACUCUAGAAGACACCCGACGCAAUGGGGGAGCCACUAGCUGCCAGGUGGGGCUGGCCAGCCCCACCCUAGUGUCGGCCGGCCCCCUAUGGUUAGGGUUUGCUCCCUCCAUCUGGAAGCUUCCUCCACCGCCUUUGAGGAGUCAUCCCGGCCACCUGUUAAGUCGGUUUGAUCCAACGGCGCGUGUCCAUCCCACCAGGCUAUAAAUAGAAGGCUAGACCCCCCAGGAGGAGGCCAGAUGAAGAGAUGAAGAGUUAGAGCAUUAGAUAGAGAUCCACUAGAUCUAGGCUAGCAAUCAAGAUAGAGAUUAGAGAGAUAGAGUAGAGGAGUAGAGAUUCGGAGGAGUCCCGGCCUAUUGGAGCUUCCUUAGGAGCUGUAUUCGUCUGGAUUCGGCUACCUCGCCUAGAGCUGCGUUCUGAGGUACUUUUGUAUUUACCCUUCUAAUUCAUGUAAGUAACUUGUUUGUAUUCAUUCUUUGGUUUGCAACUCAUAUUAUAUUGAGUACUAUGAUUUGGGUAGCUCCUAGGUCGAAGUAGUGAUUCGUAGUGUGACGUGGUGUCUAGGCGAUGGUUUCUUGUGAAUGUCCGCUGAUCAGCCGAAUAGUGGUAGUUCGCGUAGGUGACUUUAUAGCUGCGUUGAUUCCUCUGUAGUCCACUUCUUGUUGAUAGGAUUGAUAGGCUUAUAGGUGCCUGAUAGGGGAUUACUCAGUUUCUUCCCCUAUUCGAGUUACUUGCCCGAUAAGACGAUACUAUACAAAGUUUACCAGUUAUUGGAACCAGAGUACAUUAGCUAUUUCCUCAUUCUUAGAGUUUUCUAGAUUGAUUGUACUCCCCUUAGAUUAAGAAUUGUAGGCUAGGUCAUAAAUCACCUACUGUUACUUUGUGUUUGAUAUUAAAACCGAGUUGAUCUUGGUGAAGUGCUGAUCAGUAUAUAUCUGUGUGCUUGCAGAUAAUCUCAUUAUAAUCAUUAUUAGGGUCCAGUUAAUUUAUACGAACAAGCAUUUCUGGUACUGUUGCCGGGGAACGGUUUGCUGAUUUUGACAUUAUUCUAUCUUAGUCUAUAGUUAUCCUUUUAUAAAAAAUAAAUUAUAUAUAUAAAUAUAUAAUAGAAAUUGAAUCUCAACUUUUGUAUCAAUAUGGAGCGCCAUCGGGAUCAUACCUCUAGCCAAAGGAAUCUUCUAAACCUAUCACAUCAUCUGGCUAGGAGCUACGCCCGGGACUAAUCAAAUUAGUUCAAGAACAUAUCUUUUCUGGUAAUCCUAGCGAAAAUCCCUAUUCCCACUUAGCCGAUUUUGAGCAGACAUGUUCAUGUCCGAGUAUUAAGGGCAUGGCCGAUGAAACUAUAAGAUGGAAACUCUUUCUAUUUUGAUUAAUGGGUCGAGCUAAGAAAUGGUAUAAUCACCAUGUUGGGAACAGUCAAGGAGAUUGGGAUAUAUUACGAAAAGACUUUUGCCUUAAAUUCUUCCUAGUAGAAAAGGCCGCUAAACUUUGGUUUGAAAUUAUAGGAUUCAAACAAUUAGACAAUGAAUCGCUAGGCAAGGCUUGGGAUCAUUUUGAUGGCUUUGUGAAUUCUGGACCUAAUCUUGCUUUACCAGAACCCAUGCUUUUACAACAUUUGUUUUUAGGCAUUAAUGAUAGAAAUCAAGAAUACCUUAAUUUGGCCUCAGGAGGAGCAUUUAUGCAUAUUACUGUAGAUCAUGCUAAAACUAUUCUUACGAAUAUUUUAAAUGAUUUCCUCAAAGAAAAAAAGAAUUGUUAGAAGAAGAAUCUCAGUUAGCUGAAAAUAAACUUUUACCUAAUUCGUCUCAAACUAUAGUAAAAUUAGCUAAUGAGACGGAGAUAACUCCAAAUUCUGAAUGGAUGUUUGAAAUUGAGGAUGAUUUCUUUGAUGAUUUUGGUAAUACAACAUUUUAUUGUAAGAUUAUUCAACCCCAACAAUCUAGGGAUUUUAAUCCUAAUUUCUCACAUCGUGAUGAUUUAAAAUUUCUUAGAGAAAUCAUAAGAGAAUUAAUUUUUAUUUUGGGUGAUGAUUGGUUAAUAGAAUCUGAGCAAUCCCCUGAAGUAAUUUGCUUUAAUUCACCCUCUAUUAUUAUAAAGUUGCAAGUACAUUCAUAUUCUUUCGGAGCUUUAUACAACCCAGUUGUAGGAGUCAACAUUAUGUCAUAUACUUUUGCUAUAGAAUUUUUAAGAGACAUAACAUUAAUUCCUACAAAUAAAUUAUUAAAGAAUUGUUUAGGACACAUUAUUUCUAGCUUAGGAGUUUUGAGUGCACUUCCUAUUGUUAUUAAUGAUUUCCGCAUCUUGCUAAAUUACUAUAUAUUUGAUGUGUGGGAUUUUAAUGUAAUGAUUGGAGUACCCACAAUAAAACUUCUUCAAGAAGGUCAUAAUGGUAAAUUAGACAUUAAAUUUGUGAAAGAAUUUAGUUUUUCAAUACCUAUAACUCAUGCAGUAAAAGUUAAAGCAGAACCCCUUCCUAAACUGGAUCCAGUAGAAGAGGUUAAGACAUCCGAAUUCGAUAAUUUUAGUCAACUUGAUUUAGAAGAUGAUACCCAGUUCUUCAUUGAUGAAGAAGAAGAGGAUCCUAUUAAUCCUAAACCUCUUGAUGAAUUACUAGAGCCACUUAAACCUCCUAUUGAGCUUAAACCACUACCUUCUUGACUUAAAUAUGUUUUUCUAAAUAGAUCAAAAAUAUCCUGUGAUUGUAAGUGAUAAACUUUCAGAUGAGGAGACUUAUAAACUAAUAACUGAUCUAGAAAAACACCGUGCUGCUUUUGGUUAUUCACUCCAAGAUCUAAAAGGGAUUGCCCUGUUCUUUGCACUCAUCGCAUACCAACCAAUCUAGAAAUUUUACCCAAUCCGAUAUCCAAAGCGUGCCAGUCGAUUUGACCCAUUAAUCGACAAGGAUGAUAACUCGAGUACUUUUGUACAGACAACAUGUCAUAUAAUCGACCAAAUUAUAAGAGUUCAAGUGUAGAAAUGAUCGACUUAACAAUCAAGUUUGCAGACUUGAGCCCAUAUAAUCCCGGUAGUCAACCGAAAUCCCGAAGGACUUCAAACCAACUUUGCAACAUACCAAGAUCGUAAUAGUUCAACACAAUACAGCGAAUGUUACAUAGUUCAUUCAUUGCCGAUGAAGCGGCACCACACCGGAAUACUUAGUUAUUACAACACAAGUUCGAAGUAGCAGAAGCAAAAUAGUUUACACACACACAUUUCAUCAGUUCUUGUUACUGCCAGAGUCUCAUCUCAUCCACCAAAAGCAUCAGGGUACGAAGUUGUUUAGAGAACCGCACCCAACGGUUUAGUCUUCAUCCCCAGCGGGAUGGAGACAGGUCUUGCAGAAGCCAUCAUAGAAGAUAUCAUCUGCAACAGGUGGGAAUAAACCCUGAGUACGAGGAUGUACUCAGCUGGACUUACCCAUCUAACCAAACACAAAAGACACCAAGGAUCAUGCCAGGCUGAGUGUAAGUGUAGCUGGCUUGACUCAAACAAGUUCCCGAAAGCUUAAGUUGGAUAGUACACCAUUUGUAAACGCAUCAUAUUAAUCAUCAUUAGCCUACUACUAGAUUAGCACCUAUACUAAGCACUUCACUUGAUUAUUACAAACAAUAAUAACCAUAUCAAGUUUCAUCAUAAGUUCUUUUUUGCUAUCCUCGACAUCAUUAUCGAGAACCAUUGUACUUAGUGAAUGCUACGUUUGCCGCUACUCUGUCAAGUUCUCACUAUCCGGGAGAGACGGCGAUUCGAAUCGAUUCCUAUCCAGUUGGAGGGUUAUUCCUAGCACUCACCCAAGCAUCCCCCGUCAGAGAGCAAGUGGGUUACCUUUGGUACGACUCAGGAAUCGCGGCUCCGAUCAGUGCCGCACUCCCAGGGCUGCCACUCUGCCAGGAAGGUCAGGACUUUUAACUCACCUGCCUUUGGUAUUACGCCAACGGCCCCCCGCACACCGCACUUCCUCCGGUAGUGCGCACUUUAUACUUGCCGGUCUUUCGGCCUGAGUCAUACUACUAGGCUUCACGGUCGGAAUGAGUUAUCUGGUCAACUAAGUGCCAGGCAUGCGUUCAACAUAACAACAGGACGUACAACGAUCGGUCCUUAGCUGCCACAGACGGAGUUACUACCACCUUGCAAAACUCCACCUGGCUUAAGUCAUUUUAAACCAGGUUCUUUCCCCCGAUAGCAUAUAUAGUCAAUCGUGAUCCAACAACAGCCAUAUUUCACGCAGGUGACAGGAUAUCACCCGACUUCUUUCGAUUAAAGCAUAGCUAAGCUGCUACUCGAUCCUAACUCUACAACCAGGUAGUGGUAUGAUUAUAUUGACAAGGAAAGGUAUAAUACAGCAAGGGUUUCAUCACAACUCCUAUACGUAAUGCAUCAAUAGAUAUAACAUAUUCAAGUAUGCUUUGAAACUAAAGUGGGAGACUUAAGAUGAUCCGGGGCUUUCCAUUCACGAACGAAGCUGGCUCGUGACUAGGGCACUCGACCUUCUCUUCGGGCUCCUCUUGUCCUGCUGGCUAGACCUCCGCCUCCUUGUUGAUCUCCGGUCGUUGUUCACCCUCUCGAGCUCGAACGAGGCUGCCGCUUCCGAUGCACCUAUUGCAUGCACGAUAAGUGAGGAAUGGUGCACACUAGAUGAUGAUGAAUGCUUAGUAACAUGAUUAGAAAAUUCACUGGACAAUCAUUUACGGAGUAACUCCCAUUACAAGCUCACAAAAGAGUACCAACUUAACUAACAAGACUCACCAACUUGAACCAUUAAACAGCAACAACCAAAUAACAGAGCAGCUCAAGGAACAAUUCAUAACUAAUGCUAUACAGAUCCAACAAAAAUGAAUGAGGACAUUCUGGAAAGCUUAUGAAAUUGUUUACAUUUCAUCUUUAGACCUCACAGAAAGAUUCACAAGUUAAACAGGUCAACUAAACAAAGUUCCAGGUUCUGUUCCAGAAAAACAGAGAGCACCUAGUUCUGGAACUCAACUUAAAAGAGCCAUAACUUUUAAACUACUGGACCAAAUGAUCCCAAAUUUAAACUGCAGCUAGCAUGCAAAGUUUAAAACAUCUUUGAUAUAGACAAGUUAGUCAGAAAACAAAGUUAUCUUUACACAACAAUCAGAUUACUCUCUUGCUGUCCAGAACAGCUAUAAAACAUUUAAUUAAUUAUUUGAGGACAUAACAAAAACAUAUUUAGUACCAACCAAGUGGCUUAUAAGCACAAGCAUAACCCAAGAUUACCAAAAUGCCACAUGUUGACUACUAAAUACUUAACAACAAGGCAUUUAUUAAUUUAAUCCUAUAAAAGGGCAUAAUUACAAGAUACCAGCAAGAGUGCUCAGAAAAAAAUCUACAAAAUUAUAGAAGCACAAGCAUGGCACCAGAACAUUACCAUAAAAUUUUCAGAACAAUUGCACAUGCCAAACUUAAGAUAAUUAAUUAACAUGUAACAAUGUGCUUAUUUCAUAAAUUAAGAAACAUGGCUUAGAUAGUGUCAAACAACAGAUUUCAGAUUAUUUACAAGUUACUACUACUACUAUGAACAUGCUUGACACCAAAGGAGAACACCAGCAUAAGUAUAUAACAUUUUAUAUGAUUUAAACAAGAAACUAGGCCAUAGUAUUAACAUAAAUUACAUAUCAGAGAUACAGCACUCCAAAAAUCAUGAAAUAUUUAUCAGAGCAUCAUAAAAAUUUCACAGCAAUUGGAGCCUUAUAUCAAAAGAUAUGAAUUUACACAAAAUUAACAAGAUUAAUUUAUAACAAUUAUUUUUCACAGAAAACAUGGUGCAUAUUAUAUUUUUAUUAAAAACUAGCCAUCCCAUGGAUCAUCACAAAAUUUGUUUCACAACUUUUGGAGCUCAGGAACAGAAGAUAUGAUUUUUGCAAGAUUGCAAGAAAUUUGGAUUUUAAAUAAAAGAGAGGAGGGAGCCGUUGUGCCACUGACAGUGGGACCCCCGUGUCAGGUUCUUCUUCCUCUCGACCGAGACGAUGUUCACCGACGAUUUCUCCGCGACGGCGAGGUCUCUGACCAAACCGAGGGCACCAACGUGAUCCCCAGACACUUGCGAACCGAUUGACCCCCUUUUCCCCACGGCGGAGCCACCGGAAGGGGCUCGCCGUCAACCAUGGCGGCUCGGUGGAGGUGCUCGGCGAUACGCCGAAGCCCUCAGGCCGGUAGAGUGCGCCCUAGGGUUUCCUACAGCACCAGUGAACUACGGCGAAGCUUUCUAGGUAAGCGACUUGGGUUGAAACGGUGUGGAAAGGGCUGGCCACGAGAGGACCGAACUCCGGCGGAAACACGGUGGCGCUGCGCGUCGUGUACGGCGACGGUGACCGUGGUAGAGUGUUCCCCAAGUGGUGCAGACGCUAGCUAAGGUCCUAAGCUACCUCUAGAACCCAACCAAAGAAGAUUAGAUGCUCCGAGGAGCUCAGCAUUGGGCUCGCCGGAGAAAACUAUUCCGGCGAUCUGAUUUGGGGAAGAUUGGAAAUGUCGGCUCACCAGAGGGUUUCACGGCGAGCUUGAGGGUGGAAGUUGGAGAGCAGCACACGGCGGAGCUGUGGGCGAGCUUUGGUGGGCGGCGAUGCAGCGUGGAGCGCGCUCGAGCUCGUUGGAGUGAGCUCGCGAUGGCGACUCCGCUGCGGCUGAGCUUUCCGCGCGGGAGAGGCGAGAGGGAUGGAAUGGACGCGUCGAGGCGCUCGAGGGCGUCGUCGUGGAGGUCAUGCAUGCCUCCAGCGCUGACGAGCGGGGCCAGAGACGGCGUACGGACGCCAAAUGUCGCCAAUGUGCUGACACCGGUCGACCACGUCGACGAGGACGAUGUCCAUUCAGAGCUUGCUGUUGACAGUUCUUAAGUAUCAAUUUUAAUUAUCAAAUAAACAAGGGAAAGGACCAAUAUACAAACAGCACCUAGAAUUAGGGUUUGAUCUGACAGAAUUCCACGUGUUUUGUUGUUUAUCUAUUUCUGCAGGGGGUUAUCAGGAAAUAGGGAAGAAAGGCCCACAUGUCGGGAUUACAUAGAGAUAUUAACGCACCGCGCAAUUUUCUACCAUCUAGAAGACUCCAAAAGCCACGGGAACGAACGGGAAGGCGAUCGGGCCCAGAGGCAGGGCGCUCGCCCUGGUGGUGUGGCCAAUCACGUCCAAUCUCGCGGAUCACGCUCCACCGACCUAAAGGAUCAAGGAUAACCGUUCAAUUAAUGUCGGUUUGAUCCGACGGCCCACGUUCACCUGAGGGGACUAUAUAAGCAGACCCCAUGGCCCCUGGAGGAGAACAAGUUCAUCAUAGAGUUGAGAGGUGCCCUCGAAGGAUAACCUUUCCUCUAAAUAAACUUAGGGCUUAGCAUCUAAUGUGAGUAGACUAGAUCUACUAGAUUGAGAGAGAUAGAGUGGAGGUGUAGAUCGGAGGAAGCCCGGCCUGUCGGUGUCUACUCCGAGGUUGUACCUGCGGGAUCAAGUACUCCUAACCCGAAGCUUGCUCCUAGGAUUCUUCAGUAUUACGACUUCUAAAUACUAGUAAGUUCUUAUUUUAUUGUUCUUUGUUUUAUGAGUUUACUUUAAUCUCUUCGCGUAGAGUUUAGAGUAAUCAUCUCUAGCAUAGACGUGGUGUCUGGGCUAGGAUACUCAUAGAUAUCCCCUAACUAGCUGGACCGUGGUAGUAGCGAGGAACGUGACAAUUUCGAGUUACCUUUGCAGCCCAUAUCCCGUUAGUAGGAUCGAUAGGGUUUAUAGGUGCGGGUUGAACAUCCUCUGUGGUGUCUAGAUUCCGUGAGCCUCCUCAAUAGAACAGUAGAUUAUCCUUACCAAGGUUAGAACGAGAUUAAGGUUGUAGUCUUCUCUAUACAUCGCUUACAUUGAGAAACAUUCUUUCUAGCCUAAAGGUUAGUAGUAAUAGACCAGGUUAGUCAGAUGCACUCUUUCUCCUAGUGGUAAAAAUAUAAAUACGAUACUCUGGAUAACAUCCCGGGUGAAGUGCUCACCGAUAUCCGUGCGCUUGCGGAUCAAUUCCUUAUUGCGUUACCAAAUAUCAACAAGCAUUUCUGGCGCCGUUGCCGGGGAGAAAGACGGUUUGCUGAGAUAACCUUGACUCUUAAUACUAGCUUGUAUCUAUACUUUUAUCUUUUCUUAUCUUUUAUAUUCUUUUAUUUUCUUUAUUCUUACCUUAUGGAAAACCAAGAUUCUAAAUCAAUCUAUCAGUUUGCAACACCUUCAGAAACUGACCUUUUACCAUGGGAGUCAUCACAGCCUAUCCAAACAUCCCAGUUGUUGACGGUCCUUAAGUAUCAAAUUUAAUUAUCAAAUAAACAAAGAAAAGGAUCCAUAUAAAAUCAACAUCUAGACUUAGGGUUUUAUCUGACAGAAUUCCUUGAGUUUUGGUGUUUGUCUAUUUCUACAGGGGGGUUUCAGAAAAUAUGGAAGAAAGGCCCACACGUCGGGAUUACAUAGAGAUAUCAACGUGCCGCACAAUUAUCUUACAUCUAGGAGACUCCAGAAGCCACGGGAAGGAAGCGGAGGCCGAACGGGGCCUGGCCCUGGGCGCCCGCCCAGGUAACCAGGGCGCCCGCCCCCCCUUCUGAGUCCAAUCAGGACUCUCUUUCAGGAAAGAUCUCCACCGACCUAAAGGAUCAAGGAUAACCGUUCAAUCAAUGUCGGUUUGAUCCAACGGCCCAUAUUCACUUGAAGGGACUAUAAAACCAGACCCCCUAGCCCCUGGAGGAGAGAGCCUCUCAACCCUAAUUCAUUAUUCCUCAAGGGAGAAGAAGCCUCUGAUCAAGAUUACAGCCACCACAUCAAUUAGACAUCUAGAUUAGCAUAGCUACAUAGGAUUAGAACUAGAAGGAGUCAAUCUUCGAUUGGUUUCCGGAUCUGUCAAGAGGAUUCUUGGUAAUUCUCUAAUUGUGCUUCUAAUUGUUCUUCUAAUCAUCUUUGUUCUUCAAUAUUAUGAAUAUGACUUUGUUCUACUUCAAUAUAUUGCUUAUGACUUUGCUCUACUUGUUUAUAUUCAAGAUUAUAUUGUUCUUAGUUUCUCAUAGUUAUAUACUUGUCUUAGUUAGAUUGGAUCUAUAUACAUGCUUAGGAUCGUAUAGCGUUUAUCCAUCGGAUCCAUGGGUAAAUGAUAGAUAUUGUGUAGGCAUGGUGCUUAUACUGUAUUUAUCUGCGAUUGUACCCAAUAUGCCAGAUCGUGGGGUAGUUCGUGAUAGUGACAGCUUCAAUGAUUCUUAUAUAGUCACCCUCUCGUGUAUUGGGCUGGCAGAGCAAUAUGAUUACAGGAGAGUGAUUGCUAUGUUUCUCAUUUACCUUGCUAAUAUCACUAUGCAUGGGCGUAGUCUUGUCUCGCAAUGAUUGCUAAGUAUGCUUGCACUAAUUAUGAUAAUGCUAGACUAUAUAGUUGAGAAUAACUUAGAAAAUAUUCUUGUAGUUCGUUCUAAUACCAUGCUAAUGACUUUCUAGAGUAUCUAAUUGAGCUGCUUAUCAUAUUUAUAUGUGGCUAAGUUAUGCUGAUCAGAUUAAUUAUCUUUGUCACUAUUCUUUACUUCAUAUAUCCUUUAUGUGACACUUACCCCUGUAUGAAAGAGUUAGAUAAAUGUUCUCAAUUAUAUAUGCAAUGAUAGAUACUCAAUCUCAAAUUCCAUUCUGUAAUCAAUAUUGAUGAUUGCUAAUCCCUUCCUAGUGGUAAAAAUAUAAAUAACGAUACCUGAAAUACUUCCCGGUUAAAAUGCUACAUCGGUAUUAAUCUGUGCGGUUGCAGAUCCCAUUCAUUAUUUAUUUAGAAGAGCAAUUGCAUAUUUCAAUACCGCGUCUCUCAUGUCAUGCUGGGGAUGACAACUUGGCUUAAGUGGUAUGAGGGAUAGGUUUGGCAUUUUUGGCACCGUUACUAGAAUUAGAAAACUGUCUACUUUUGGUAAUGAUGUUAAGAAUACCCAAUAAGCAUUUUUGGCACCGUUGCCGGGGAAGGUUGAUUACUAAUCAAGAAUGAAUAAAGGAUUUUGAGUUAUCAUUCGCAUCACUAAUAUGAUUGAGCUUAUCAAUUCUCUCAUACAGUUUUACCCCGAUAUUUUCUAUUUUUAUCUUAUGGAGGGGAAUGUAUGAAUAGAAGACAUCUUCCAGGAAAUUUUGUUGACAAUCUCGAAGCGUUAUUCAGAAAAACUAGAGCCAAGCUCAAGAAGAGAUCAUCAACACUUCAGCAAGAAGCUUCAUCCAAUCAAGAAGAUCACCGGAACUUGUGUUCAGAGUUCGAAGCCAUGGCGAACAAAUCGAUCCGUGAGUUCUCAGCUCCCACUACGGACAACAUCCGCACUGGACCUGCUGCAGAGAUCGAUGGCAACUUUGAGCUCAAGCCUGGACUUAUCAACAUGGUGCAAUCCAAUCAGUUCUGUGGGAAGGCACACGAAGAUGCUAGUGCUCAUCUCCAACACUUCCUGGAGAUAUGCAGCACAUUCACCAUAUCAGGAGUUUCCAGAGAUGCUAUACUACUUCGCCUCUUCCCAUCUCACUAUUAGGGAGAGUGAAGCAGUGGUUCUACGCUACAAAGGAGAAGAAUACUACGUGGGCACUCUGCUCAACAAACUUCCUGGCUAAGUUCUUUCCCAUGGGCAAGACCAAUGCUCUCCGUGGGAAGAUUACAAGUUUUCAGCAACAAAAUGAUGAAUCUGUUCCAGAAGCAUGGGAGCGCUUCCAAGACUACAUUCUAGAAUGUCCCCAUCAUGGAAUGGAGAGCUGGCUACUGAUGUAGACGUUUUAUCAUGGGCUCGGCAACAGUGCCCGAGAAACCAUGGACGCUGUAGCUGGAGGAGCAUUCCUAUCACUUACCACAUCACAAGCCACAGCUCUUGUGGAGAAGAUGGCGUCCAAUCAAGGCUGGAAUGAAGAGAGGACCUAGAAACGCAAGAGAGGUGGAGGUAUGCAUCAGCUCAAGGAGGUAGACAUCUUGUCUGCAAAGCUAGACCUGCUCAUGAAGGAGCUCGACAAUAGAGCCGGAGAUAAGAAAGAAGUUAUGCAUAUCUACGACUCUCACAUGACUUGUGAGGAAUGUGGAGAUACUUGACACUCAGGCAAUCACUGCCCUGAGAUGCUUGACGAUGUAAACUACAUCAACAACAACAACUACUACUACUACUACUACAACCAUCCUCAACAAAAUCAAGGUUGAAAUCAACAGAGGCCUAACUACUCAGGUAAUUAUCAAGGUAAUAAUUCUUACAACAAUAACAAUAAUUUUCCACCUCUGAGAGAGUUAGUGUCUAAUCAAGGAAAGCUAAUGGAUAACCUAUCUAAGAAAUUGACAUCUAAUGAUAAAAUGCUAGAAAAUAUAAAUAAUAGAAUGGACAAUUUCUCUACUGCCAUCAAUAAUCAAAUUAGCUUUAAUAAAAUGAUUGAAUCUCAAUUAAAUCAAAUAGCUACUGCUGUUCCUACUACUAACCUCGGUAUACCAUCACAACCGGAAGGAUUAGAAUUUGCAAAUCUUGUAGACAUGUUUGAUGCAGGUAAUAACAAGAGUAACCCCGCACUGAAUUCACUACUGACCUUCUGCCGGUCAAGAGAGGCGACCCAGGAUGCCCCGUCAUCCCGAUCUCCAUCGGCAUGGUGGACGUCCCAGAAGCACUAUGCGACUUUGGCUCUAGCGUCAACAUUAUACCUAGGGUACUCUAUGAAAAAUUCUUUACAUAUCCUUUAUUAGAGACAACCAUAUGUUUGCAGUUUGCAGAUCAGACGAUAAGUUUUCCAAAAGGAAUAUUGAAGAACCUUUGUGUCCGAGUUGGUACCUUAUAUGCCCCAGCAGACUUCGUGGUGAUAGAGACCGGUAAUGAGGAGAGGGCACCUAUCAUCCUAGGGAGGCCAUUCUUAAACACCUCGGGAGCUGUCAUCUAUGCCAGUGCUACCAAGAUCAGUUUCUACAUCAAAGGGAGGAAGGAGACGUUUUCCUUCAAGAACAAGACUACACAAAUCCCAGAUCAAUCCAGACGUGAACCAAGGAAGAGGACCAACAGGAGGAACAGGAACAAGCAAGUGUGGACCGAGUCAGCUAAGAUGGUCACUGCAGUUCAUGGAGGCCAAGAUCAACAACUUAAGUCACCAUUUUUGACCAAGAAGGACGACCCAGGAAUGUCAAGCAUCUACUGCUCCAUAAAUGGAUACAACUUCUACAAGACGACUUGCGACACCGGAUCGGGCGUUAACAUAAUGGCCGUAGUCACCUAUCGGCUCUUGUUCGGAACCAUGCCCCUAAAACCAACAUAUAUUCAGCUCCAGAUGGCAGAUCAUACAUUUCGAGAGGUUAAAGGAACAGUAACUGAUGUCCCAGUCAAAAUAGACGAUCAUUUUGUCUACACAGACUUUCAGAUUACGAUCCACCCAUCAUCCUUGGAAGACCGUUCCUCAGCACCGUUAAAUCAAUUAUCUACAUUGGAACCGGAGAAGUCCAUAUGCACUUUCCCUCAGAGAAGGUACGCCGUUAUUUUACUGACCCUAACUACAUCUUUGAAGAAUCUAAGCAGGUAAGAAAACGAUGCAACCGGCAAAUCAUCAAGGACGGAUGGGCAGACUAUGAAGGAGAAGUGAUAAGGUCAGAAGACAUUCAGUUUAAACAGAAUUAUCCAGAGGAGACCGAAGCACCGAGUCAGGUAUGGAAAGAGAAGAUAACUAUACAUGAAGAAGAGGCACUGCCGGAAGUACCAACUACGCCACCCAACGAACCUUAGGACAAUUGAGAAAACAGAGAGUCCCGUUCGGAGGACUUAAAAACACCGAACGCCUUGCCAAGAGGUAAACUUGGUAGUUAUCCUUUCCCUUUUCAAUUAUUUUAAACAGUUUGCUUAGUUAAUUGUGUUCAUACUAUCCUAAAAAGAAAAUAAAAAUGAAAAACAGUAAGCCCUAUGUGAGUAUACGAGUGGCAUAAAACCCAUAAGUACAUUCACUGUGGUGGCAUAAAAAUAAAAUAAAUAUUUAUUUUCUGCUUUAUAAAAUGAAAAUAUAAAAAUAGUGAGUAACAUUUAUUUAGGAGUCUCAACAUGAUAAAGGCUAGAUACUUAUGCUAACACUUAAUCAGUUCCACAAGCUUUGUUGCCUAUUUGAGCUCCACAGAAUUUAAGAAUCAAGAAGACUAGCAGACAGAGGACAUUCUAAUCGCUGUCAGAAUACUGCCGACAUUCAAAUACACCUCUGCCACAUGCUAGCUACAUCAAGGGAAAUUACGUCAAAAUUCAGCUUAGGGGAGAGCACCCCCAUUUAUCCCGAUAAGUAUUUCUAUUUAUCUAUCUUUAUACUUAUACUAUAUUAAAAUAUAGAUAUACAUAACUAUGAAAAACCAAAUAAAGAUUUUAUGCUUAUAUAUAUAUAUAUCUUUUGCUAGUGUGUUUAAUAAAUAAAUAAAGUGGCUAUGAUAAUCUGAAUCUUAAUAAUAAAACUCUAGCAUGGAUAUGAUGAAUAGUUGCUCUGCUUAACUUUUCAAAAUUUGAAGUUCUCUCUCAAGUUUAGACAUAACUGUUAUAAUUUAAAGCUUGCUGUAGACCUAAACUUGUGGGAUGAAAACUUGAUCUGAAGUCGAAGUUGUUAACGGAUAUGAUAUGGGAAGGUUGAGCUGCUGUUUAUCUAUUACUAGAGAUGCUAGAAUUCUGCAGAAUUUUAUCUUUUAAAAUCUUUAAAAUAUUGCAUGAUGAGUUCCUGUAUGAUGAGAGUUUAAAUUCCUACCACAGCCAUAUAUACAUGCUUGCUAGACUUUGAGCCACACAUUUACUAUUUACUGCUUAUGAGCAUUGAGUGUGGUCAAGCUGUGUAGACCCUUAGGAGCUUGUCAUGUGGUUAAAUCAAGAUUCACUUGCACAUUCACUCAAAUAUGCUGCUUCUACUCUGGAAAUACCAUCCACAUAUAUCCACUCAUUUCCAUCUCCAGAAACACCCAAAAAUAUUCUACUCCUAAUCCGGGAUAGAAUAGCCAAAAUUAUUUCUGUUUUUCCCUGUGAAAUAAAUGCUCAAGUUAUCUUGUUACUACCACUUGCUAUAUUAUCUCAUGAGAUGAGUGCUCUACUUUAAAAAAAAGAAAAAAGUAUACGAGGAAAUAAAAAGGGGCAAGUGCCCGGAACCUCGAAAGAAAAGAAAAAGUGAGACGAGAGGUAAAAAUGGACAAGUGUCCGACAGUAGAAUUAGGGGUACAAGAUACCCACCUGAGAGAAAAGAAAAAUAAGAGCAUCUCAUUCUCCUCAUAAAGUUUCAAAAAGCAAGGAAGGUAUGCAUCCCCUCAAAAGAGCAAAAGUAGAAUUAGACUUUCAUCAUUGUUAUCGCCAUCAUCACCAUACACCAUUCAUUCGCCACACAUGCACAUCUUGAUUUGACUUAAUGAUUUGUUUCUUUGGAUCCAUGGUUUGACUAUACAAUACAUGUCUUGUAUGUAUGUAUACUUUAUCUCCCACCUAUGAGCUCCAGAUAUUAAAGCCUUAUUAGAGUAGGGUGAGAGAGAAGGCAAUGUCACUAUGCCUUAUACCAUAAAUACCAUAUAUAUUGAGAGAAGGCAUAUACCAUCACUGCCUUGGUAAGGAUCCAGAAAUACCACAAAAGAGAGAUCUGAGAAAGUCAUACAAGAUCUCUGAGUUUUAUUUGAAAAUCUACAAAAACUCCAGAGCUAUAGCUGAUCAAGAAUAAGAGACAUGGCACUUGACUAGACUGUUCUAUCUUUUAACUACUCAAGACAGAAGUGACGGUUACAAGUCCCAUGGUGAAAGGUAAAGUAAGUAAGUUUUAAGUCUUGACAGUUUACUCUAACUCAGAGAUAAGACCUUAUUUAGAAGCAUGUGUACCAUCAAUUUUUAAAGAUAUCGCAACAACUUCUAAUCCAUCGUUGAGAUUAUCCUUGCUCAGGGACGUGCAAGACGUAAGCUUGGGGGAGUUUGUUGACGGUCCUUAAGUUUAUCAAAUAAACAAAGAAAAGGAUCCAAAUAAAAUCAACAUAUAGACUUAGGGUUUUAUCUGACAGAAUUCCACGAGUUUUGGUAUUCGUCUAUUUCUGCAGGGGGUUAUCAGGAAAUAUGGAAGAAAGGCCCACACGUCGGGAUUACAUAGAGAUAUCAACAUGCCGCGCAAUUAUCUUACAUCUAGAAGACUCCAGAAGCCACGGGAAGGAAGCGGAGGCCGAACAGGCCUGGCCCUGGGUGCCCGCCCUGGUAACCAGGGCGCCCGCCCAGGUAACCAGGGCACCCGCCCCCUUCUGAGUCCAAUCAGGACUCUCUUUCGGGAAAGAUCUCCACCGACCUAAAGGAUCAAGGAUAACCGUUCAAUCAAUGUAGGUUUGAUCCAACGGCCCUUAUUCACUUGAAGGGACUAUAAAACCAGACCCCCUGGCCCCUGGAGGAGAGAGUCUCUCAACCCUAAUUCAUUAUUCCUCAAGGGAGAAGAAGCCUCUGAUCAAGAUUAGAGCCACCACAUCAAUUAGACAUCUAGAUUAGUAUAGCUACAUAGGAUUAGAACUAGAAGGAGUCAAUCUUCGAUUGGUUUCCGGAUCUGUCAAGAGGAUUCUUGGUAAUUCUCUAAUUGUGCUUCUAAUUGUUCUUCUAAUCAUCUUUGUUCUUCAAUAUUAUGAAUAUGACUUUGUUCUACUUCAAUAUAUUGCUUAUGACUUUGCUCUACUUGCUUAUAUUCAAGAUUAUAUUGUUCUUAGUUUAUCAUAGUUAUAUACUUGGCUUAGUUAGAUUGGAUCUAUAUACAUGCUUAGGAUCGUAUAAUGUUUAUCCAUCGGAUCCAUGGGUAAAUGAUAGAUAUUGCAUAGGCGUGGUGCUUAUACCGUAUUUAUCUGCGAUUGUACCCAAUAUGCCACAUCGUGGGGUAGUUCGUGAUAGUGACAGCUUCAUUGAUUCUUAUAUAGUCCCCCUCUCGUGUAUUGGGCUGGUAGAGCAAUAUUAUUACAGGGGAGUGAUUGCUAUGUUUCUCAUUUACCUUGCUAAUAUCACUAUGCAUGGGCGUAGUCUUGUCUCGCAAUGAUUGCUAAGUAUGCUUGCACUAACUAUGAUAAUGCUAGAAUAUAUAGUUGAGAAUAACUUAGGAAAUAUUCUUGUAGUUUGUUCUAAUACCAUGCUAAUGACUUUCUAGAGUAUCUAAUUGAGAUGCUUAUCAUAUUUAUAUGUGGCUAAGUUAUGCUGAUCAGAUUAAUUAUCUUUGUCACUAUUCAUUACUUCAUAUAUCCAUUAUGUGACACUUACCCCUGUAUGAAAGAGUUAGAUAAAUAUUCUCAAUUAUAUAUGCAAUGAUAGAUACUCAAUCUCAUAUUCCAUUCUAUAAUCAAUAUUGAUGAUUGCUAAUCACUUCCCAGUGGUAAAAAUAUAAAUAACGAUACCUAGAAUACUUCCUGGUUAAAAUGCUACAUCGGUAUUAGUCUGUGCGCUUGCAGAUCCCAUUCAUUAUUUAUUCAGAACAGCGAUUGCAUAUUUCAAUACCGCGUCUCUCAUGUCAUGCUGGGGAUGACAACUUGGCUUAAGUGGUAUGAGGGAUAGGUUUGGCAUUUUUGGCACCGUUACUAGAAUUAGAAAACUGUCUACUUUUGGUAAUGAUGUUAAGAAUACCCAACACCAGUAUAGGUUGAGUUCUAGGUUGAUUGCUAUGAUUCAAAACCUAUCUUUUUCAGGAAAGGAAGACGAAAACCCUUACCUUCAUAUUAGAGAUUCUGAGCAAACAUGUGAUUGUCUUCGCAUUGAAGGCAUUUCUGAUAAAACUUUACGUUGGAAGCUUUUUCCUUUUUCUUUAAGGGGAGAAGCUAGACAAUGACAUAAUCAGAAGGUAAGUCAACAACGAGGUGAAUGGGGAGUUUUAUGAGCCAACUUUUGUCUAGAUUUUUAUUCCCUCGACCGUAUCGGCGACCUUAGACUCAAAGUCCUAUCUUUUGAACAAAAAGAUAAUGAGACUUUGGGAAAAUCCUGGAAACAUUUUUUUGAUCUUUUAGAAUCUAGUCCAAACCUUAAUCUUGAAGACCCUGUUCUUUUAUUUCACUUUUUUCGAGGUCUUCAGAAAGAUCAUAAACAAAUGCUACAUACAAUGUCUAGAGGUUCUUUCUUUCGCAUCCCUACUGAUGAUGCUAGAGUGAUCCUAGAUAGAGUCCUAGAAGCUGAGAUGGGUAAUACCCUUCAUGAUGAAACCCACGAAGCCGAAGUAGACACUUUGCCAAAUUCUCCAUCUACUUUAGCUAUCCCAAGUUUUGAGCCACAAAAGGAAGAAAUUCCACCACCUGAUUUCAUGCUGGAUAUAGAAUCUGAUCUUUUUGCCGAUUUUGGAAACAUUUCAAACUACCAUUCUAUUGACAAACCCCAAAACAACCAUUUUAGCAUUUGUUCGCCAAAUGAAUAUCAAUUGAGAGAGCUUAUCUCAGUCAUGAGUAGCGAAUGGUUGGAGGAGUCAAAGCUUUCCUCUGAAGUGAUCCGUUUGGACACACCUCCUAUAACUAUACGCUGUGCUUAUGAUUCUGAUCAAUUUGAUGCUCUCUAUAAUCCUGUUGUAGGGAUCAACAACAUGUCCGAAUCUUUUGCACUUAAGUUAUUUAAAAAUUUGGUCUUAACCCCCACAACAAAGGUCAUAAAGAAAUCUUCGGGAUGAUUAGUCCCUAGUCUUGGAAUUAUUAAUGUCCUACCCCUUAUGGUAGAAGGCUCCAUGGUUCAUUUGAACUUCUAUAUCUUUGAUACAUGGGACUUCGACCUAUUGAUAGGACAACCUUUUAGAAGACUCCUUUAUGAAGGUCAUUCUGGAAAGCUACACAUUUCUUUUGGGAAAACUUUUAAAUUUCCAAUAACAAUUUCACACUCCUUAAAUAAUAAAGCCGAGUCAUAUCUUUUGCAUGAUCCUAUGGAGGAGGUAAAGGCUGCAUCUCUAGAGCUUUUAGAAGAACCAGACUUAGAAGACGAAGCUCCUUUCUUCACAGAAGAAGAUGCUGAACCUUUUGAACCUGAACCCUUAGAUGAAUUUACAGAAGCGCCUAGACCUCCCAUAGAGCUUAAAACUUUACCACCCGGUCUUAUCUAUGCUUUCCUAAACAAUAAUCUAGAGUUUCCUGUGAUCAUUAGUGAUAAACUCACUCAGGAGCAAACUUUGCGAUUAAUGACCAUUCUUGAAAAACAUCACUCAGUUUUCGGCUACUCACUCCAUGAUCUUACAGGAAUUAGUCCUAUGAUUUGUACCCAUCGUAUUCCGUCAGAUUCUUCUGUUUCACCUUCUCGAGAGCCCCAACGUAGACGUAAUAAUGCGAUGAGAGAGGUAGUUAAAAAGGAAGUUAUAAAGUUGCUGCAUGCAGGGAUUAUAUAUCAUGUGCUGCAUAGUGAGUGGGUAAGCCCAGUUCAAGUUGUGCCUAAAAAGGGAGCCAUGACUGUCGUUAUGAAUGAAAAGAAUGAGCUAAUUCCGCAACGCACCGUCACAGGGUGGCGGAUGUGCAUAGACUAUAGAAAACUAAACAAAGGCAUGAGAAAGGAUCAUUUUCCUUUACCUUUCAUAGAUGAGAUGCUAGAGCGAUUAGCGAACCAUUCAUUCUUCUGUUUCUUAGAUGGAUAUUCAGGGUAUCACCAGAUCCCGAUCCAUCUCAAUGAACAAAGCAAAACCACUUUUACAUGCCCAUAUGGAACUUAUGCUUACCGUAGAAUGUCUUUUGGGUUAUGUAAUGCACCAGCUUCUUUUCAAAGAUGCAUGAUGUCUAUAUUUUCUGAUAUGAUUGAAGAGAUUAUGGAAGUUUUUCAUGGUUGAUUUCUCUAUAUAUGGAAAAACUUUUGAUAGUUGUCUUGAAAACUUAGACAAGGUUUUGCAAAGAUGUGAAGAAAAGCACUUAGUCCUUAAUUGGGAAAAAUGUCAUUUUAUGGUUAGAGAAGGAAUAGUGCUGGGACACCUAGUGUCUGAAAGAGGUAUUGAGGUAGACAAAGCUAAAAUGGAAGUAAUUGAACAACUACCUCCACCUGUGAAUAUAAAAGGAAUUCAAAGCUUUCUUGGCCAUGCUGGUUUUUAUCGCAGAUUCAUAAAAGAUUUUUCAUUUAUUGCUAGACCACUUACUCUUUUGCUAGCCAAGGAUGCUCCUUUCGAAUUUGAUGAUGCAUGUCUAACAUCUUUCAAUUCAUUAAAGAAUGGACUCAUCUCUGCACCAAUCAUUCAACCCCCUCAUUGGUCGUUGCCUUUUGAAAUUAUGUGUGAUGCUAGUAAUUAUGCUGUGGGGGCCGGUUUGGGACAAACUAAAAAUAAGAAGCAUCAUGCAAUUGCUUAUGCCAGUAAAACUUUGACAUGAGCUCAACUUAAUUAUGCAACCACUGAAAAAGAGCUUCGGGCUGUUGUCUUUGCCAUUGAUAAAUUUAGAUCUUGUUUAGUUGGAGCUAAAAUAAUUGUUUACACUGAUCAUGCUACACUAAAAUAUUUGCUCACUAAAAAAGAUACUAAACCUCGCCUGAUUAGAUGGAUGUUAUUACUUCAAGAAUUUAACUUAGAAAUAAAAGAUAAAAAGGGAGUAGAAAAUUUUAUUGCUGAUCACUUGUCUAGAAUGUAUUUUAAGAAUCCACACGAAACCCCCAUCAAUGAUUCACUUCGGGACGACAUGCUCUACGAGAUUAACAGGUCUGACCCCUGGUAUGUAGAUAUUGUUAAUUUUAUGGUUUCAGGGUAUGUACCACCAGGAGCAAACAAGAAGAAGCUUAUUCAAGAAAGUCGUUCACAUAUAUGGGAUGAGCCAUACCUCUUCUGAGUAUGCUCUGAUGGCUUACUCAGAAGAUGUGUGACCACUGAGGAAGGAUGGAAGAUCAUCAACAGAUGUCAUUCAUCACCAAAUUGAGGUCAUUAUGGAGCAUUCCGUACACAUUCAAAGAUCUGGAGUGUGGAUUCUACUGCCCUACAAUGUAUGAAGACACGAAGAAAUACAUCAGAAGAUGUGGGCCAUGUCAAAGGCACGGAAACAUAAACACAAGGGAUGCCAUGCCACUCACCAACAACCUUCAGAUUGAGCUCUUUGAUGUCUGGGAUAUAGAUUACAUGGGUCCAUUUCCCCCAUCAAAGAAGUGUGAGUUCAUCUUGGUGGCAGUUGACUACGUCUCCAAGUGGGUAGAGGCACUACCUUGCAAACACGCCGACAACAUCAGUUCAAACAGGAUGUUUGAAGAAGUUAUAUUUCCAAGAUUUGGAGUCCCCAGAGUAGUGAUAAGUGAUGGAGGAGCACACUUCAUUGACAAACGCUUCAAGCAAUAUCUAUCAAAACAUGGAAUCCGUCACAACGUCGCUACCCCCUACCAUCCUCAGACAAGUGGCCAAGCAGAGACUUCCAACAUGAAAAUCAAGAAUAUUCUUCAGAAGACAGUGAAUGAAAUGGGAACGGCAUGGAAAGACAAGUUACCCGAUGCACUCUGGGCAUACCGAACAGCAUACAAGACUCCAAUUGGAAUGUCACCAUACCAAUUGGUGUACGGGAAGACUUGCCACCUAACUGUUGAAUUAGAAUUCAAAGCACACUGGGCCAUAAGGAGAUGGAAUAUGGACCUAGAUGUCGCUGGAGAUCAUAGAAGAAUGCAACUAUUAGAAUUGGAAGAAUGGCGAGAGAAAGCAUAUCACAAUUCGAAGAUCUACAAAGAAAGAGUCAAAAGGUGGCAUGACAAGAAGAUCAAGAAGAAGGAGUUCGCACCCGGAGAUAAGGUAUUACUUUUUAAUUUCAGGGUGAAGCUUUUCGAGCAUGGAAAACUCCAGAGUAAAUGGGAAGGACCAUUCAAGGUAAUCAAUUCAUCAUCCCACGGAGCUAUCACACUUCAAAAUGACGAAGGUACGUUAUUCAAGCUAAAUGGUCAACAUCUUAAAUUAUUUUUAGAGCCCAAAAAAGAAUUAGAAGAGAUAGACGUGAUCCAUUUUUACCUUCCCAUGGAGAUUUAGAGCCCGACCUUUUUAAUCUGACGUUUUAGGGCCAUGCAUAUAUUUUCCUAAUUAAGUCUGCAUCUAGAAGCACGCUCAAGGAAGCGGGCCCACAGAGGGGCCAGGCAUAGGGCGGGCACCCUGAUGAAGAGGGCGGGCGCCCAGCCCCUGCCCCCUCUCAGUCCUGAUUUCCUCCGUCAUGGUAAACACACUUAUGGUAAACCAAAUAAUCAUACAGAUGGAAAGUUUCGCACGCACGGCGGCGGAAGUAGCCCGAGCAAACCCUAGAGGCACUUUUUGACCCCUAUAUAAACAGACCCCUGACGUCAGUUUUCAAACACCAAUCUAUUCAAGCUUCUCUCCUUCUUCAAUUAGAGCUUGCUUAGUUCCUUGUUGUUCCAAUGGCCGAAGAGUUCCACGACGAUUGGGAAGUCGUCUCCUUCAACCUCAACAUGAAGCCCAAGGAAGACCCCGACGCCCACGCUCUCGUCCCGACCAACACAGAGCGACAGUUAGAAGCCAUGCCAUUACGCCAGCACAGCUCCGCCCAAUCCUACCAUGCUCAACCAGUUCUCACCGCACCGCCACAACCCCUACUUCUCAAGGGACCAUCAGCCAAGAAGGAGGCCACCAUCAAUGUGCCAGCCGGCACUAGGAUCCUUCCACCCAGACCCAAUGAGAGGGUCGUUGGAGUCAAGACCAACCGGAGCGGUGAGAUCAGCAGCAUCCGCUACACUACGGAGGAAGAGAGGCCUUACUUUGAGGGGAUUAGAGCAGCCAAAGUCUGUUUCAUCCCUCCAAAGGCAGCCCCGAAGCAUGCUCUCAAUGCUCUUGAGACACCUCCUAAGCGUCGCAAGACUAUAGUAGAUAUUGAUGAGGACGUUCGUAGGCUAGACAAGGUCAUCAUAGAACUCCAGUUCUCGGUUAACUCCAUCACUAGGCAGCUCUCUAACCACAACACUAUGAUACUAGGUCUUAGACAUGAUCUUGCUAGUGCCAAUAAGAAGAUCAGGGAGUUAGAGCGCCGCUAAGUUAUCUAGAUUAGAUCUUGAGGUAAUGCAUCUUAGUUAUUUAUCUUUAAAUUUGGUUUAGAUUUACUAUUAGCUUCAGUUCAUUACUAGUCAUUUGUAAUAAAUGCCUCAAGAUUAAUAAAGAGUAUUAUUAUUAUUAUGUCUUGUGUGUCUCUACUUUAUUUUUAUGCAAGUAAGCAGAAAAUAAGUAUGGGGGAGAUCCCUCGACAUGCCAAACACACUUCGACUACACCACUCCACGAUACAGGUACAUACUCUGCACACUUUACUUUACACACACACAUAUAUCUUGGAUUAUGCAGAAUAUUGUCUCCGACAAAUAAAUUAAAAAGAUUAAAAUGUUUCUAAUCAUGAUUAAUCUCACUCUGUGAUAUUUCCUGAAAACCUGCAAUUAUCGAAAAAUCAUUUUAAAACCCUGUGUUACUUAAGUCUUUGUGGAAUGUGAGAUGAUAGAGUAUGAGUAUCUUAUUCUUGAUAUCAUUGUUGCUUGGAGAAUUUAUUUCAAAAAUCUUCAAAAUUCUAGCUACCAUCCUCAGUGUUUUAUAUGCCUGAUAAAACUGAAAAUAUUAACUAUAUUGAGUUUGUUCAAAAUGAGUUAGACCCUUGUUGAGAGAUUUAUCAUGCUCCUAAGAUCAAGACAUUUAUUCAGAAAGAUUCACUCUUCCGAAGUAUUAUUGCAUUAGAGGAAUGGGCUAUGCAAAGAUAAGGAUAUUUCGAGGAAAUAAAAAGGUACAAGUGCUCGACAACCUCGCAGAAAAAAUGGACAAGUGUCCGGCAGUAGAAUUAGGGGUACCUCGUUAUCCACCUAAAAAAGAGAGAAAAGAAAGAAAAUAAUAGCCCAUGGUCCCUCUAAUAAGCAAUAUGCUAGUAAGAGUUGACAAGUUUUUAAUUUCCAAAGUCUUUGAUCUAAGAGUAUGGCAUUCCUCUCCUCGGAUCCCGUUUUGAUCAGGCAAUAAAUGCAAGGUAAGUAUGCUUGAGAAUUUUUGCAAAUUAAAACAGCCUCAGUGAGAUAUAUAAAAGAUAAUGAGUGAUCUAAGAGAACCUAUGAGGAUACAAGGUAUGCUAAAUUUCUUUUCAAAAAUAUACAAAAACUCCAAGUGACAGGAUUGAGAAGAAAGGACCUCUACUCUUAAUCAUAUAUUUCCCUGACUACGGUACAUAGUGAAUUUUUACAACACCCUGCAGAUAUGAAGAGAAUGCUUUACAAUGUUUUAACCCCAGAUAUUUUUCUUAACCAUCCUUUUCUCGAGGACGAGUAAAAGCCUAAGUAUGGGGGUAUUUGUUGACGGUUCUUAAGUAUCAAUUUUAAUUAUCAAAUAAACAAGGGAAAGGACCAAUAUACAAACAACACCUACAAUUAGGGUUUGAUCUGACAGAAUUCC
rnacentral:lncRNA from 1 species